rnacentral:rRNA from 1 species
CCUUGUACACACCGCCCCGUCACACCAUGGGAGUUGUUUGGACCCGAAGCCGCCUGGCCAACCCGCAAGGGAAGUAAGCGUCUAAGGUCUGGACAGUGACUGGGGUG